AUGUAUACAUCCACGGGCCGACGGGUCGAGAUGACUCGCUCCCUCCGAAUGGUUCCGAUCUCGGCCGAUCUCCUGCACCCGCGGUAGAGCUGCGUUGUAGCUGCGUGUCCUUCUCCAGUCCGUCUCUGACACUAUUUCAAUCAUGGUGGACAUUUUGAUGUUGAUGUUUUUCGCCAUCAUUGGCCUCGUUUUCCUCUCCUACGUCAUCUACUUGCUGUGAUGAAGAUGAUGAUGAAGCGUCCUGCUCCGCCACAUAAACGGCUGCAGCACAGUCAUUCGGGGGAUGUGUCUUUCCUGUCCUGCAUCCCUGGUUUCCAUCAUGGACAAAUGGGAUCUGGGUCCAGCCACCGAGGUUUCCCCGGUGGCGCUCUCCUGGAGGAGGGGGGGCACGAGAUAAACAAAUGGACAAGUGGAAGCCCCCGUUUCUCCUCCUUUUAGUAGGUCAGGAUCCUCCUACAAAACGUCACUACUCCCACGUAUUUGCAAUCAGUCUGACCAAUGCAUUAUCUAUGCUACCCAAGGUUGUGCAUGUCUCUUUAAGAGGAGACUGUUACCUCUGCACAAGUCCUCUAUCCAUGGAUGCAGGACGGUUUUGUAGUGUUGAGCGUGAUGCAGGUGUCGAGUUUGCCUUUCUACAACACUGUGAGCUCAUUGUAAUGUGUUGUGUUCCGUUGGACCGUGUCAUCCUGUGACUUCGUGGCCAACCCUUGUGUGCUCAUGUUCUGCCUUGGUUGAGUCAGCCUUCACAUCAGUGUUAUUAUAUGACUUUAUUCACGUGUUUCCAAUAUGUUCCUCUCCUCACUACUAUCAAGAUUAUCUGUCAGAUUAAAGCCAAGGGGAACAUUUCAGUUAUAUGACUCAGCUAUGUGUUUGUCUGUUUUUUGGCUGUAAAUGACAUCCACGGGGAGCAAUGAUGUCAUUUCAGAAAUUAAUCAACCAUUUAUGCUCUUCUCAUUUUUAGCACCAUACCUCAUAUAUGAUGUGUUAUCACUGAUGUUAUGUUUACUGAUGCACUGAUGCUUUACUUAAUGACGGUAUUUCACAUGACAUGUCUAAUAAAGAUGAUUUCAGUAAACCCA